CUUUUUAAAAAAAAACCAAAAACACCUUCACAAAAAGCUCUCCCCUUUCUCAGCUCGUCCGGCCUAGAUCCGGCACCAGCCAAUCGUCAGCCACUGCGCCGAUCGCCGGCCUCUGACGACGGCUCCGCCGUCUGCGGUGGCCGGAGAAGGAGAAAAUCUCCUAUUCGGCUCUUCCGACCUCUCCAAGCCCAAAUCUAGGUUCGAAUCCCUCAAAAAAAAAACUACCCAAAUGUCUCCAAAUUUUCGAGAAACCUUUCAGUUCUUGGCCGUCUAUCCUCGGAGACGACUGCCUCGGCCGUUCACGGCGAUCUAAGCAAAGAAAGGUUGUUUCUUUCCCUUUUUAUAUUUGUAUUUAUACACAUGCAAAUAAGAAAAAACAAUAAACUAAAGUAAAGCAAAUAAAUAUAGACCUUUAAAUAGAUUUUCUGCUUUCUCUGUAUUGAACUCGUUAUUUGUAUUUGCUGUGAAAAUAAUUUUUUUUAUUGAUUUUUCGGAUCCCGAUUAUAGUGUAUUGAUGGCUUUUUUUAUAGCCGAAUGAAACAAUUAAAAGAAGAAACAAAAUCUGUUUUAUUUUGAUUUGCGAAUCUUUGAUUCUUUCCAUAUACUGCUAUUUCUCUUCUUGAUGCGCAGGUUUGAAGAUCGCGCGGAGAUUCGGGGGCAUGGUUGCGGCGCUGUUGAUCUUGAGAAACCCUAGGGUUUCUAAUUUUGUUUUGGGCCAUUUGUUUUUAGUUUAUUUCAGUUUGGGCCAUAUAGGCCCACUUGUAAUUUGGUCUGCUUUAUUUUCUUCAUGUAAGCCGGGCAAAAUUGAGG
rnacentral:lncRNA from 1 species